CCCAAAUCUGGGUUUACAGGUCUUCCCACUCAGUGAUCAAGUCUGAACUCAGAAUAUCCAGCAUGGUGUUGGGACUGAGCUGGGUUAUCCUUGUGGCUCUUUUGAAAGGUGUCCAGUGUGAGGUGCAGCUCGUGGAGACAGGAGGAGGAUUGGUGAAGCCUGGGGAUUCUCUAAAACUCUCCUGUGUUACCUCAGGAUUUGCAUUCAGUAACUACUGGAUGUACUGGGUUCGCCAGUCUCCAGGGAAGGGGCUGGAGUGGAUUGCUACAAUUAAACACAAAUUUGAUAAUUAUGCAGCAUACUAUGCAGAGUCUGUGAAAGGCAGAUUCACCAUCUCAAGAGAUGAUUCAAAAAGCAGUGUCUACCUGCAAAUGAACAGCUUAAGAGAGGAAGACACUGCCACUUAUUACUGUGCAACACACAAUGAGGGGCCAUCAAUGUAA